UGUGGCAGGGAUAAACGCUGAAAGCAUCUAAGCGUGAAGCCCCCCUCAAGAUGAGAUUUCCCAUUUCUUUAAGAAAGUAAGAUCCCUGAAAGAAGAUCAGGUAGAUAGGUUUGGAGUGGAAGUAUGGUGACAUAUGGAGCGGACAAAUACUAAUCGAUCGAGGACUUAACCAAU
rnacentral:rRNA from 1 species